GAUGAACGCUGGCGGCGUGCCUAAUACAUGCAAGUCGAGCGAACGGACGAGAAGCUUGCUUCUCUGAUGUUAGCGGCGGACGGGUGAGUAACACGUGGAUAACCUACCUAUAAGACUGGGAUAACUUCGGGAAACCGGAGCUAAUACCGGAUAAUAUUUUGAACCGCAUGGUUCAAAAGUAAAAGACGGUCUUGCUGUCACUUAUAGAUGGAUCCGCGCUGCAUUAGCUAGUUGGUAAGGUAACGGCUUACCAAGGCAACGAUGCAUAGCCGACCUGAGAGGGUGAUCGGCCACACUGGAACUGAGACACGGUCCAGACUCCUACGGGAGGCAGCAGUAGGGAAUCUUCCGCAAUGGGCGAAAGCCUGACGGAGCAACGCCGCGUGAGUGAUGAAGGUCUUCGGAUCGUAAAACUCUGUUAUUAGGGAAGAACAUAUGUGUAAGUAACUGUGCACAUCUUGACGGUACCUAAUCAGAAAGCCACGGCUAACUACGUGCCAGCAGCCGCGGUAAUACGUAGGUGGCAAGCGUUAUCCGGAAUUAUUGGGCGUAAAGCGCGCGUAGGCGGUUUUUUAAGUCUGAUGUGAAAGCCCACGGCUCAACCGUGGAGGGUCAUUGGAAACUGGAAAACUUGAGUGCAGAAGAGGAAAGUGGAAUUCCAUGUGUAGCGGUGAAAUGCGCAGAGAUAUGGAGGAACACCAGUGGCGAAGGCGACUUUCUGGUCUGUAACUGACGCUGAUGUGCGGAAGCGUGGGGAUCAAACAGG
rnacentral:rRNA from 1 species